rnacentral:rRNA from 1 species
AGCAGCCGCGGUAAUUCCAGCUCCAAUAGCGUAUAUUAAAGUUGUUGCAGUUAAAAAGCUCGUAGUUGAAUUUCGGGAUUGACACAUCGGUCGUGCCUUAAGGGGUAUGAACUGGUGUAGUCAAUUUCUCACCUUCUGGAGAACCGCGAUGCCCUUAAUUGGGUGUCGCGGGGAACCAGGACCUUUACUUUGAAAAAAUUAGAGUGUUUAAAGCAGGCAUUUUGCUUGAAUACAUUAGCAUGGAAUAAUAAAAUAGGACGGCAUGAUUCUAUUUUGUUGGUUUCUAGGAUCACCGUAAUGAUUAAUAGGGAUAGUUGGGGGCAUUAGUAUUCAAUUGUCAGAGGUGAAAUUCUUGGAUUUAUUGAAGACUAACUACUGCGAAAGCAUUUGCCAAGGAUGUUUUCAUUAAUCAAGAACGAAAGUUAGGGGAUCGAAGACGAUCAGAUACCGUCGUAGUCUUAACCAUAAACUAUGCCGACUAGGAAUCAGACGAUGUUAAUUUUUAAUGACUCAUUCGGCG